rnacentral:rRNA from 1 species
AUUGAACGCUGGCGGCAUGCUUUACACAUGCAAGUCGAACGGCAGCGCGGGGGCAACCCUGGCGGCGAGUGGCGAACGGGUGAGUAAUGCAUCGGAACGUAUCCUGUAAUGGGGGAUAACGUAGCGAAAGUUACGCUAAUACCGCAUACGCUCGAGAGAGGAAAGUGGGGGAUCGCAAGACCUCACGUUAUAGGAGCGGCCGAUGUCCGAUUAGCUAGUUGGUGGGGUAAAGGCCUACCAAGGCGACGAUCGGUAGCUGGUCUGAGAGGAUGAUCAGCCACACUGGGACUGAGACACGGCCCAGACUCCUACGGGAGGCAGCAGUGGGGAAUUUUGGACAAUGGGCGAAAGCCUGAUCCAGCCAUGCCGCGUGC